rnacentral:tRNA from 1 species
GCUUUCGUGUUGUAAUGGCCAGCAAACUCGGCUCGUAUUCGAGAGCUCCUAGGUUCGAGUCUCGGCAAGGGCA